UACAGAGGGUGCGAGCGUUAAUCGGAAUUACUGGGCGUAAAGCGCGCGUAGGCGGCUUUGCAAGUCGGGUGUGAAAUCCCCGGGCUCAACCCGGGAACUGCGUCCGAUACUGGAAGGCUUGAAUCCGGGAGAGGGAUGCGGAAUUCCAGGUGUAGCGGUGAAAUGCGUAGAUAUCUGGGGGAACACCGGUGGCGAAGGCGGCAUCCUGGACCGGCAUUGACGCUGAGGCGCGAAAGCCAGGGGAGCAAACGGG
rnacentral:rRNA from 1 species